rnacentral:lncRNA from 1 species
CCUCUCUCUCCCUCUGGAAGCCGCUGGUGGGCGUGGUCGCUGGAGCUCCGAUCAGCACACCUGCAGCUCAUCAACCUUAUCAGCACACCUAUUGUAAAUGACCUUUAAUAUGAGCAUAGUAUUUCUGUAAAUGUGUUUUUAUGUUUACUUAUUAACAUUCUUUAAAGCCAGGCUUUUAUUUUUUAUAUAUUAAGCAGACGUUACAUUCAGUGCUUUUAUUUUGAAAGCGUCUCGCCGAGACCUUGUACACAUCAGGUGCUUUUGGACUUUACCGCGGUAGGAAAAGUGUGUCUGCAAGGCUAAAGUGUGCCUAACUCACAUGAAACGCCCUAGCACCUGGCUAAUAAGGGGCACAAGACCACCAGUCCAGAGCCUGAACCCUGUCACCUGCCAGCACUGCCGACCACGAACCCGAAACCGGAGCUUGAGUCACACCACCACCCUCGACGUCUCGGAGGAGCACCUAACCUGCCAGCAUCACCGACUACAAACCUGGAGCCUGAGCCUGAGUCACACCACCACUCCCGGUGUCGCGAAGGACCAGCCACAUCACCACAAUUGUUUUUGUGCUUUCAAUAAAUUACACGUGUUACCAACUAACUCUAGUCUGCGUUUGAGUCCCUGGCCCCAGACCCUGACAACAACGUUGUUGAGUGACAGAAGUUAAAACCAGCCUGAUGCUGACGAAGGAUCAUUUCCACCUUCUGCCAAAGGAAAACAACUGAUGUAUAGUUUAAUCUAUGAAAGUCAUAAAUCCUGCUUUUCAUGUCUGAGUAUUAACAUGAUGUGUACACACCUCAUUAUAUCCAUCGGCCUCAUGAGCUCUGUCCUGAUGGUUCUGGUCGUUUGGACUGUUCAGUGCACUUCACUUCUGAUGUGAUGAUCGUCUGUGGCAGCUCCACACUUCACAGAUUUGUUUGGAUUUGUUCUGUUUUGUAAAAUAAAAUAACUCAUGAUCAUCAGCAUGCAUUGACAUUCAUUCUGUCAUUAAAUAUGUGUAAUAAAGAGAAUAAAGAGAUGAUUCAUGAUUGAAUA